rnacentral:rRNA from 1 species
UACGGAGGGUGCAAGCGUUAUCCGGAUUCACUGGGUUUAAAGGGUGCGUAGGCGGGUUGGUAAGUCCGUGGUGAAAUCUCCAAGCUUAACUUGGAAACUGCCGUGGAUACUAUCAAUCUUGAAUAUCGUGGAGGUAAGCGGAAUAUGUCAUGUAGCGGUGAAAUGCUUAGAGAUCCGGAGGAACACCAAAGGCGAAGGCAGUGUCCUGGGGAGUACCUGACGCUCAGGUGCGAAAGCCAGGGGAGCGAACGGG